ACACUGGSRMUKCGYARCRUGCCUAMYRCWWRCAAGUCGAGCGGACAGAUGGGAGSUUGCUCCCUGAUGUUAGCGGCGGACGGGWGRGUAACACGUGGGUAACCUGCCUGUAAGACUGGGAUAACUCCGGGAAACCGGGGCUAAUACCGGAUGCUUGUUUGAACCGCAUGGUUCAAACAUAAAAGGUGGCUUCGGCUACCACUUACAGAUGGACCCGCGGCGCAUAGCUAGUUGGUGAGGUAACGGCUCACCAAGGCAACGAUGCGUAGCCGACCUGAGAGGGUGAUCGGCCACACUGGGACUGAGACACGGCCCAGACUCCUACGGGAGGCAGCAGUAGGGAAUCUUCCGCAAUGGACGAAAGUCUGACGGAGCAACGCCGCGUGAGUGAUGAAGGUUUUCGGAUCGUAAAGCUCUGUUGUUAGGGAAGAACAAGUACCGUUCRAAUAGGGCGGUACCUUGACGGUACCUAACCAGAAAGCCACGGCUAACUACGUGCCAGCAGCCGCGGUAAUACGUAGGUGGCAAGCGUUGUCCGGAAUUAUUGGGCGUAAAGGGCUCGCAGGCGGUUUCUUAAGUCUGAUGUGAAAGCCCCCGGCUCAACCGGGGAGGGUCAUUGGAAACUGGGGAACUUGAGUGCAGAAGAGGAGAGUGGAAUUCCACGUGUAGCGGUGAAAUGCGUAGAGAUGUGGAGGAACACCAGUGGCGAAAGCGACUCUCUGGUCUGUAACUGACGCUAGGAGCGAAAGCGUGGGGAGCGAACAGGAUUAGAUACCCUGGUAGUCCACGCCGGUAACGAUGAGUGCUAAGUGUUAGGGGGUUUCCSGCCCCUUAGUGCUGCRGCUAACSCAUAAGCACUCCGCCUGGGGGAGUACGGUCGCAAGACUGAAACUCAAGGAAUUGAACGGGGGCCCGCACAAGCGUGGAGCAGGUGGUUUAAUUCGAAGCAACGCGAARACCUUACCAGGGUCUGACAUCCUCUGACAUCUAAGAGAWGAACGUUCCCGUCGGGCAAAGUGGACUGGUGGUGCAAGUUGUCGCUCAGCUCGGUUCUGAGUUGUAAGUUCCGYACCRRGGCCACCCUUKAGA
rnacentral:rRNA from 1 species